ACUCCUACGGGAGGCAGCAGUAGGGAAUCUUCCACAAUGGACGCAAGUCUGAUGGAGCAACGCCGCGUGAGUGAAGAAGGUUUUCGGUAUCGUAAAGCUCUGUUGUUGGUGAAGAAGGAUAGAGGCAGUAACUGGUCUUUAUUUGACGGUAAUCAACCAGAAAGUCACGGCUAACUACGUGCCAGCAGCCGCGGUAAUACGUAGGUGGCAAGCGUUGUCCGGAUUUAUUGGGCGUAAAGCGAGCGCAGGCGGAAUGAUAAGUCUGAUGUGAAAGCCCACGGCUCAACCGUGGAACUGCAUCGGAAACUGUCAUUCUUGAGUGCAGAAGAGGAGAGUGGAACUCCAUGUGUAGCGGUGGAAUGCGUAGAUAUAUGGAAGAACACCAGUGGCGAAGGCGGCUCUCUGGUCUGCAACUGACGUUGAGGCUCGAAAGCAUGGGUAGCGAACAGGAUUAGAUACCCUGGUAGGAUAGCG
rnacentral:rRNA from 1 species